AACGAACGCUGGCGGCAUGCCUAACACAUGCAAGUCGAACGAAGGCUUCGGCCUUAGUGGCGCACGGGUGCGUAACGCGUGGGAAUCUGCCCUUGGGUUCGGAAUAACAGUGGGAAACUGCUGCUAAUACCGGAUGAUGACGUAAGUCCAAAGAUUUAUCGCCCGAGGAUGAGCCCGCGUAGGAUUAGCUAGUUGGUGGGGUAAUGGCCCACCAAGGCGACGAUCCUUAGCUGGUCUGAGAGGAUGAUCAGCCACACUGGGACUGAGACACGGCCCAGACUCCUACGGGAGGCAGCAGUGGGGAAUAUUGGACAAUGGGCGAAAGCCUGAUCCAGCAAUGCCGCGUGAGUGAUGAAGGCCUUAGGGUUGUAAAGCUCUUUUACCCGGGAUGAUAAUGACAGUACCGGGAGAAUAAGCUCCGGCUAACUCCGUGCCAGCCGCCGCGGUAAGAC
rnacentral:rRNA from 1 species